rnacentral:tmRNA from 1 species
GGGGGCGACAGGAUUCGACGGGUCUAGUGAAGACUUCGCUGCGUGCCCAGGUUCUCAGUCACCUGGUUAAACAACUGGGAAACCAAACAACUGCCAACACUGAUUUGGCUCUGGCUGCGUAAGCUUCUGCUUGCGCACCUGCUCGCGUGGCAGCUCGCCUGAGGCGGCGCGCGGGUAUCGCAAAAUCGGGCUGGUUCUCGGCAUUGCUCCCGGGCCGAGUGCGAGAUCUUGAGGGAGCUGGUCCGGUGGUUGGAUGGCUACGUGCCGACCGCCGGCGACACUAAAGCGUAGCCUAUGCACGUAGAAGCGAUCUUGGAUCGAGGUUCGGACCGGGGUUCAAUUCCCCGCGCCUCCAUCA